GGCGCCAUGGCCGCUGGCAGGGCAUAAGCUUGCAAAGCUGAAGUUGGCGGUUCGAAUCCGCCUGGUGCCG
rnacentral:tRNA from 1 species